rnacentral:rRNA from 1 species
CCUACGGGAGGCAGCAGUGGGGAAUAUUGCACAAUGGGGGAAACCCUGAUGCAGCGACGCCGCGUGAGUGAAGAAGUAUUUCGGUACGUAAAGCUCUAUCAGCAGGGAAGAAAAUGACGGUACCUGACUAAGAAGCCCCGGCUAACUACGUGCCAGCAGCCGCGGUAAGACGUAGGGGGCACGCGUUAUCCGGAUUUACUGGGUGUAAAGGGAGGGUAGACGGCAGCGCAAGUCUGGAGUGAAAUCGCAUGGGUUAACCAUGGAACUGCUUUGGAAACUGGGCAGCUAGAGUGCAGGAGAGGUAAGCGGAAUGCCUAGUGUAGCGGUGAAAUGCGUAGAUAUUAGGAGGAACACCAGUGGCGAAGGCGGCUUACUGGACUGUAACUGACGUUGAGGCUCGAAAGCGUGGGGAGCAAACAGGAUUAGAUACCCCUGUAGUC